CGUACCGAUAGGUGGUUUACCAAGUCAGAAGUGAAAUUCCAAAGCUCAACUUUGGGACUGUCUUUUGAAACUGGUAAACUAGAGGGGCAAAGAGGAAGCUGGAACGAACGGUGUAGUAGUGAAAUGCGUUGAUAUCGUUCGGAACACCAAUAGCGUAGGCAGGCUUCUGGGUGCCACCUGACACUGCUAGGACGAAAGCGUGGGGAGCGAAUGGGAUUAGAUACCCCGGU
rnacentral:rRNA from 1 species